UGAGCCGUGGUUUCUUUGAAAUCUUUUUCUACAAUUUUCGGUAUUUCUGUCUUCACUAUUUUUGUAAUUUCCCCUGUAAUUAAUCUACAAAGUCUCCAAAUUUUUUCCCAUUCAGUUGGCAUCUAUUAUGAUUUCCUCUGUUUAAGUUAAAUUUAACAGAGGAAAUACGAAAAGAUGCGAAAUCAAAGAUGUUCACUGGUACUUAUGGACACGCAGAUUUCUCUUUCUUCCAGUGAAUUCGUGCGUUUUCUCGUAGGUUUCACAUUCUUCCUUUUUUCAAUUUAUUUAAAAUUUUCUGUGAUUCUGAUAUUUUGGUUAUUGGAAUUUUGCUCGAUGAUGAUUGAUUUGCUUUAACCACACCGAAGAGAGCUGGCUGAUUAGGAAUCCUCUUGAAUUUAGGUCAAAGGAAUUUUUUCUCACUUAUAAUUUGCUUGCGAGUGGCUUUAUGAAUCUUUGCUCUAUGGGUUUGAGAGUGUAAUUCAUUCUCCCCUAUAGAGUUAAGAUGAAGGCUCUUUCAAGCUCAUUCUAAGUGUAUUCCAUUGGCUUAAAUCCGUGAGGAUUUCCUCUCCGUCGGUAUUCUCAUGUGGAAAACUUUGGCCUUUUUCUGAGAGCUAAAUUCCCCAUUCAAAUUCGAUAACGUUAUCUCUCUUUCAAUUUUUAUUAGUCCAGUUUUAAAAAUUCAGCAGUCAAGGAGAUUAUUUCUAAGUUUUCAUGGGUAUACUUUUGAUAGAAGAACCAGAAGAAUUAUAGAAAAGAGAACUGUAUCAGAGAAUAUUGGGAAAAGUUAUGUUUUUUAGAGCCAUUGCACACCUCUCUCUCUCUCUCUCUCUCUCUCUCUCCAAUUCAUUUCAGCAUAAAGAGCCAUUAGGUGAAGAGAAGAUAAAGAAAUCCUAGUUUGGAGAAUAAAAAAUAAACUAUUGUAGUAAGAUAAGUAGAAUUUUGUUACAAAUCACUGAAUAUAAUUAAAUGAGAAAAUUAGAGGGAACCAUGCUUUAAAGUUUUAUUAUUAAAAUCAGGCAUUUUUUAAAAUAUAUUUUUGGUAAAUGUUUUAUUUUGUAUUCCAUCCUAUUCAUUAUGGUAAUUUGAAAUUCAAAUAAUGCAAAACGUGAGUAUUAUGAUUUUUGCUUGUUGCAUACUUUGAUUUACUAAUGUACGAAUAACAUUUGUUGUUGCAAUUUGAAAGGCAAAAGGUGUCUCUUAUCUUCUACCCUUGAAUCCACAAGUACUCGUCGGGUACUAAGAAAUCGUUCGAUCCCAUACAUUUGUGAUCUUGACAAUUGUAUUAUUGAAAUUUGCUUGAACAUUAAUAACUUCCUUUGGUAUUUUGAGUGCAAUCUUUAAGUGAACCAAUAUGUUAUGUCCAUUUCUAUGCUAAUCAAUUCUAUUCUACAUAUAUUUUGCCAUAUUUUAUCAUCUCAUAAAUAUGAAUAACUUUCAAAGGAACUAAAAAUUGUAGUUACAAAUUAUUAAAGGAAACGAACCUAUCAUUAUGAAUCCAAAUGCCUUCACACUUGACAUGUAGAAUGGUGGGGUUGCUAUCGAAAAAAUGUAGAGGAAAAUAUGAAUUCUUUCAUACAAAUAAUUGUGCAGUUUUCCAAAAUUAAGUAAAGGCCUGGAUGACCAUUCUUUUCAUUCUCUCCACUUCCAUUCAAAGAGCAACGCAUUCAAAGAAAUAGUUUUUGUUAGAGAUUUCAAAUUUGAGUGGAAAGGCAGUUAAAACCAAGUAUAUCUAUGGUGUCAAAUCAUAUUAUAGCAUUCUUAGUGCCCAUUAGCAGAUAACAAACCUUGCUGAGGCUUGCAAAUCCAUUUGUAAAUUGUUAUUUGCAGAUGUACACAUGUUGCAAUCGUGGAGCACUUUGUUAGGCAAUUAGUGGGCAUGUCAUAAUCACGAUUUCAUUAUAUGGUAUCAGAGCAAUUAUGACGUCUCCAAACUCCAGCUCAGAAAAUAAAGUCCAACCACUAAAUCCGGCCUUAAUCUGAUCAAUACUGCUAAACCCACUCCAAAUUUCUCCUUAUCUCAACCUGCCUAACCUAUAAAUAAUGCAAAUCAACUAGCUAUUGUGUACCUGGAUGAUGGAAAUUUUCUCAUUUAGAGACAGCAUGUUCUUCCUGGUAUUCGCGGUUUUGGGUUGGAAGGAUUUAUUGAUGGUUCUGCUGUCUGUCCACCAGAACUCACUCCAACCAUAAGUGGUAGACCAGGGUCCGUCAACCUGGACUAUGUCUUCUGGCAUCGUCAAGACCAAUUGAUAUUUUCUUGGUUAUUGGCACCAAUGACAGAGUAUUCAAGCCCAAAUGGUGGGAUCAAACACUGCCAGUGAUAUUUGGAAAAUUGUUGCACGCUUGUUUGCAUCCAGAACUCAGGCAGAGGUUAUGCAACAUAAACUUCAACUCCAGACCCAAAAGAAAGGAGGUUUGAGAAUGCGAGAAUACCUUUUGAAGAUGAACACAUAUUCUGAUGUUCUUACUUCUGCUGGAGAAAAGAUUUCAGAGGACCAAAUACUCUAUGUUCUAGCCAGGUUGGGAAUCGAGUAUGAAUCUGUUAUCGUCUCUGUUACAUCACGUGUUGAGCCCUACUUCUUACAAGAUGCAACUGAAUUUUUUCUCACACAUGAAAAUCGGAUUGAACAGUAUUCCGCAAAUGGAGAUGUGUGACAACCUACUAUAAAUCUGGCACUUCAAGACCAGUCAAAGAAAAAUGGGGACAGCAGUCAAAAAUUCCCUCACGAAAGAAUUUGAACUUACAUGGCAGAAGCCGCGGUAGAAUCAGAACAUGGAAUGGAAAUAGCAUGCCUCAGUGUUAACUUUGUGGUAUAUUUGGUCUAGGUAUGGCAACGGUUCGGCUAAAACUAUUACCGAAACACCAAUUUCUUAGUCAUACCACAAUCGCACCUUAACUACGUAAGUCGGUUCGGUUCAUAUCUCGAUUUGCCUCGGUUUGAGUUGUUAAUAACCACGAAAAUAUAUUAUUUUUUAUGGGUCCAUCCAUCAAAUAUUUUAAAAAAAAUUAUGAAAGAAAGUCAAUGAAAACAAAAAUAUAAUACUAAGCCAAUGUAGCAAAACAUCAUCCCAAAUGAAAAUGUAGACAAUAUCUCAAUUCUCAAAUGCAAAAUCCGAAUUUAACAAACAAUACUAAACAAUAUCUUUAUCCCUUGAUCCUUGUGCAUAGAACUUGAUUUCUACUCAAUAAAUCAAAAGCUUCAACCUCAAUUUAUAUUCAAUCUUUAUUCUUCCCCACAACUCUUACUAGGAUUCGUCAAAACUUAAAGUUGAUUUCUAUAUAGUAUAUAAGAAAUGUAAGUAGAGUAAUAAUCUAUAAUGGUCUUAACUGAAUAUUUAAAUAAAAAAAUGUACCUCUUCGUCAACAUUCUCGUCACCAAACCUUGCACAAGUUCCAAAGUAUGAUGAAGGAGCAAAAUUUUUUACAAACAAAAGAGGAAAAAAAUUAGCAAUAUAAGAAAGUGCAUGAAUAACAAAUAUAAAACAAUAAAUCCAAUUAUUAUUUUUUUAACGGGUAAUGGUUCGUGGCAGAACAACGACGCGAAUUCCAUAUCCGCCUCGCCCCGAAUCGAGUCAUUAAAAUCAAAUACUAUAUCCACUUCAUUGUACCAUCAGUUCGCUUAACCACGAUUUUCAGUUUUAACAGUUAGAAUUGUCAUCCUUAAUUAGGUCACACGGCACAGAAAUGCUACCAUCGUUUUGGCCCGUCAUUUCUCUAGUCUCAAUGGUGCUAGGAAUACUAAUACUCUUUCGGGUAAUCAAAGUGGAGAUGGGUUUACUCAAAUGGCCACAAUGAUGGCAUCCCCUGAGUUACUUACUGAGAAUGGGUGGUUUCCAGACUCGGGAGCAACAAAUCACAAGACCAAUGAUCUAAACAACAUGCAUAUUCGCAAUGAAUAUCUGGGGAGCAGCAAAAUUGUGGUGGGUAAUGGUAAAGGUCCCUCAAUAUCUCAUGUUAGCUCUUUCUUUUUUAACUCUCCUAAUUCGUCUCGUGUUUAUACUCUGUCCAACUUAUGCAUGUCCCACAAAUUACAAAGAACUUGUUUAGUGUUAGCCAAUUUGCUCGUACAAUCAUGUUUAUUUUGAAUUUCACCCGAGUUUGUGUUUUGUAAAGGAUCAGGCCAUGAGAAUGGAGCUACUCCAAGGGAGGCUACAUAAUGAUUUGUAUCAGUUUAAUCUAUUUAAGGCAUCUCUUGCAUCAUCUCAAUUGUCGUCCUUGAGUUCUUCUAUUCAAAGUCAGUCGAGUUGUCCUACUGCCUUUUCUUUACAGUCAGUAGGUGCUAGUUCGAGUUCAGUAUUUCAAGUCCAGUAAAGUCUAAUAUUAGAGUCAAUCAAAUUACAGACCUCUGGCAUAUGAAGCUCAGUCAACCCGCUGCUCCAAGUGUCAGGAUGGUUCUAUCCUCUUGUAAAAUCCUUGUUCAAAUGAAUGAAGAUUUAUCAUUUUGUUUUGCUUGUCAAUUAGGGAAAAACAAAAAGUUACCAUUCUCUCAUUUUGAGGUGGUUUAUCAUGAGCUAUUACAUUUGAUAUAUUCUGAUCUAUGGGGUCCAGCAUUCACACCCUCCAUUAAUGGUUAUCGCUAUUAUGUGAGUUUUGUGGAUGCUUACUCUAAAUUUACUUAGAUAUUUUUCCUUAAAAGCAAGUCUGAAUUAUAUCCCGUUUUUCUUCGAUUCAAAGCUCAAGUGGAAUUAAAACUAGACAAAAAGAUCAAAAUUCUACAAACAGAUUGGGGGGGUGAGUUUCGGUCCCUUACAUCGUACUUGAGUUUAGCUGGGAUAACUCACAGACAUUCUUGUCCUCAUGCGUCUUAACAAAAUGGAGUCUUUGAACGUAAGCAUUGACACAUUAUUGAGUGUGGCUUACCUUUUUAGCUCAAGCCUCGUUACCUCUCAAACUUUGGGAUGAUGCUUUCUCAAGUGUCGUAUAUGUUAUCAACAGAUUACCUACUAUAGUCUUGAGUGGUCAGUCUCAUUUGGAAAGGCUCUUGUAUACCAAACAUGAUUAUUCAUUUUUACGUGUGUUUGGCUGCAUGUGCUUUCCUUGCCUUCGGCCCUAUAACAAACAAAAGUUAAACUUUCGGUCAACCCCUUGUACAUUCAUUGAUUACAGUCUUAACCACAAGGGGUACAAGUGCUUAGAACCUGAUGGAAGGGUUUUCAUAUCUUGUCAUGUAGUGUUUGAUGAGAAAACUUUUCCAUAUGCUUCACAAAAGUCUUCUACAAUUUCCAGUGUCGAUCAACCUCUUUCAGUCCUUUAUCCAGCUAUGCAAUCAACUCAUCUUGGACAAUCAUCUACUACGUCUUUGCUAAAAACUGAUCCCAACCGUGAUUCCUCAUAGCAAAACUCUCUAGCACAUCACUUUCCAACACACAAUAUGCCCUCAUUAUUCCCAAGUGAAUUAACCAUAUCAACCACCGAGCCUAAAUCGUUACCUAUUGAUCUACCUUCCUAGUCAGAAUCAUCAUCUAUGUCUCCAACACCUAUCAAUACUCAUCACAUGGUCACUCGAUCCAAGGCUGGAAUUUUAAACCUAAAGUUCUCCUCACUACCGACCUACAAAAUAGUAUACCAAACUCUUUCAAAGAAGCCCUCAAAUGUGCUCAGUGAAAUAUGGCAAUGCAUGAGGAAUAUGCUGCAUUAAUUAGCAAUAACACUUGGAACUUAGUCUCUUUGCCCUCAGAUAGAAAGUUGAUUGGCUGCAAAUGGGUUUUUAAACUGAAGAGAAAUCCUGAUGGUUCUAUCUCUUAAUAUAAGGCGUGACUGGUUGCAAAAGGUUACCAUCAAGUUCUCGGCUUUGAUUACACAGAUACUUUUAGUCCUGUGGUGAAACAAGUAACCAUAUGUGUGGUUCUGUCCAUUGCUAUUUCUCUUGGAUGGCAGGUACGCCACUUGAUGUAAAUAAUGCAUUCUUUAAUGACAUAUUGCAUAAAGAUAUAUGCAUGGCUCAGCCUCCUGGAUUUGAAGCUCCUGCACCAAAUGAUAGAUUGGUCUGUAAGCUCAAUAAAGCUUUGUAUGGGUUAAAACAAGCCCCUCGGGCGUGGUUUGAUUGUUCGAAGACUUAUCUCUUAUCUCUUAGUUUUAAUGCUUCUCGAGCGGAUACUUUUCUUUUUAUCAAAUGCAAUGCUACACUUUGUAUCUAUGUCCUUGUAUAUGUAGACGAUAUAUUAAUUACUGGGAGUAGUAGUCUAGCAAUCGAGUCUCAGAUCACUUGUCUGCACUCUGAAUUUUCCUUGAAAGACUUGGGCAUUCUUCAUUAUUUUCUAGGGAUAGAGGUAAAGCAUACUACUACUGGUAGUCUAUUGUUGUCUCAAGAGAAGUAUAUCAAAGAUCUCCUCGAUAGAGUUAAGAUGAGUAAUGCUAAAUCGAAACUAACUCCCAUGGUGGCAAUUUUGUCCCUCACUUCCUCUAAUGGCGAUCCAUUUGUGGAUCCAACUUUAUAUCGAAGCACUGUUGGGGUAUUGCAACAUGUAACAAUUACUAGGCCUGAAAUAGCAUACUGUGUAAAUAAAGUGUGCCAAUUUAUGCCUUAAAGCACACUGGAAGGUAGUCAAACGCAUUCUUCAAUAUCUUUGUGGUACUGCAAAUCAUGGUCUCCACUUCUUCAAGUCUAAUAAUCUAUAUCUUCAUGGAUUUUCAGAUUCUGAUUGGGCAUGGGACUUAGAUGAUCGCCGUUCACUUCUGGUUACUGCUUAUUUCUUGGGGAUAAUCUAGUUUCCUAGAGCUCAAAGAAACAAUCUAUCGUUUCUUGCUCAAGUACUGAAGCUGAAUAUCGUAGCUUAGCUAACGCCACUUCUGAAUUAAUUUGGUUGCAAUCUUUACUUAAGGAGCUCCAAAUCUAUCAAAAUAAAAUUCCAGUCAUCUGGUGAAAUAUUUUGAGCACGAUGGCUCCCAAUGCUAUCCAGUCUUAUAUUAUUGUAUGAAACAUUUGGAGCUUGAUCUCUACUUUGGCAGGGAACGAGUUCUUAAUAACACUCUAGCUGUCCAUCAUGUUCCUGCAUUUGAUCAACUUGCAGACAUUCUCACAAACCUCUUGCUGUUCAACAUUUUACUCGACUGAAACAUAACCUAAGGGUUCUUGUUCCUAUCACCCUUCGUUUGCGAGACGAUAUUAGCAGAUAACAAACCCUGCCGAGACUUGCAAAUCUGUUUGUAAAUUAUUAUUUGUAGAUGUACACAUAUUGCAAUCAUAGAGCACUUUGUUAUGUAGUUAGUGGACGUGUCAUAAUCACAGUGAUACUAACUCAUUUAUUAUACUAUAUAUACCAUGUACUGUACAAGCUUUAUUUAAAUGGAAUAUAAUAUUUCUUU